UAGUCUGGGCAAAAUAUUGCGUAAUCUACCGUAUCGAGGUAGCCCUUUUCUCAGGCACCAAACU
rnacentral:tRNA from 1 species